rnacentral:rRNA from 1 species
UGGGGAAUUUUGGACAAUGGGCGAAAGCCUGAUCCGGCAAUGCCGCGUGUGUGAAGAAGGCCUUCGGGUUGUAAAGCACUUUUGUCCGGAAAGAAAUCCUUGGCUCUAAUACAGUCGGGGGAUGACGGUACCGGAAGAAUAAGCACCGGCUAACUACGUGCCAGCAGCCGCGGUAAUACGUAGGGUGCAAGCGUUAAUCGGAAUUACUGGGCGUAAAGCGUGCGCAGGCGGUUUGCUAAGACCGAUGUGAAAUCCCCGGGCUCAACCUGGGAACUGCAUUGGUGACUGGCAGGCUAGAGUAUGGCAGAGGGGGGUAGAAUUCCACGUGUAGCAGUGAAAUGCGUAGAGAUGUGGAGGAAUACCGAUGGCGAAGGCAGCCCCCUGGGCCAAUACUGACGCUCAUGCACGAAAGCGUGGGGAGCAAACAGGAUUAGAUACCCUGGUAGUCCACGCCCUAAACGAUGUCAACUAGUUGUUGGGGAUUCAUUUCCUUAGUAACGUAGCUAACGCGUGAAGUUGACCGCCUGGGGAGUACGGUCGCAAGAUUAAAACUCAAAGGAAUUGACGGGGUCAU